GGUGGCGAGGCCUUCUGUAAUGGACAGACAAGCCAUGUUAGCGAAACUGAUCGGGUCUUGCGUAUUGAAUGCCAACGCCGGAAUUACAUGAACUGGUAACUUUGUCUAAGCUCAUCAUAUGGUAUUAUUGAGAAGUUAAGCUUGGUUUUAUUUGUUCGCAGCUCACAGUGUUGAUGGCUUUAGAUUAUUUACGGUUAAAUUUUUGUACUUGGGUUUCUGUAAUGAAUACAUGGAUCACAGUAUAAUGUGGAUGAUUUGUAGAUUGAGAAUCAGAGUGUAUAUGAAAAAGAAGAAAGUGCAGGUCUGUGUGUCAGUUUUAAUUGUAUUACUGGAAGCCCAUUUAAUUGUAUUGCAGGCCUUUAAACUGGAAGCCCAGGUCCACCAUAGUGACCCGGGCUAUCCAUAUUUUUUUAUUUGUUAUUUUAAAAAUUGUCACAGUUAUUUUUGAAAUUGUUACAAAAA